GGGGAGCAUACAAAAGCUGAGAUGUUAACCCGAUACAAUCUUCCAACAGAAAAGUGGUAAUUUCCUGCUUGUGGUGCUGCAAGCAAGCUCUGCAGGUCUCAAAUUACACAACAUUUGA